UAGAGGCAGGUGAGCAUUUAUACAUCGUAAUCUCUGCUCCCUGCAAUCGCUGCUGCAGGUGGCCGUGGAUGGGGGGCACCUCUGAUGGCCAGGUGAUUCAAGAGGGGGCGGGGGGAUUGGAGAUCCAAACCACCUGCCUCGUCCUUCCAGCAUGGAAAAGAGGCAAAGGCUGCUGAAUAAGAGGGAAAUGUGCACCAAGGCUCCAAAGAGAAGGAAGGUGUGCAGAGACCCUGUGGGAGACAUUGCAGGGGACACGGAUUAUUUCUCUGACGACUGAAAACUCGGCAGCAGGUGUCCUCCCGCCGGAAUCCUUUGGCCGGGAUUUGCUCAUUAACAAAGGCUUCCUGUCCGGCCCGGUGUCCAGUGACAGAUUUAAAGUGGACAGACAAGGAACAGACAACCAAGACCGGGGCCACGUGGAAAUUAACAGUGCUUGGAACCCUCCUCUGGCUACAGAUGGAUCAGUCUUCGAUAUGGGGGCACAUGCACCCCUACCCGAAAUCACAGAGGAUCUAAACGAUACCAACCCCUCACGAACACGAAUCAGAAAAGCUUUUUGUGCCAUUGAAACAAAUAAAUAAAAACAAACU